rnacentral:rRNA from 1 species
CGUGUAGGCGGUCCGCUAAGUCUGAUGUGAAAGCCCGGGGCUCACCCCCGGAAGGGCAUUGGAAACUGGCGGACUCGAGUCCCGGAGAGGAGGGUGGAAUUCCUGGUGUAGCGGUGAAAUGCGUAGAUAUCAGGAGGAACACCGGUGGCGAAGGCGGCCCUCUGGACGGUGACUGACGCUGAGACGCGAAAGCGUGGGGAGAAACA